UUUAUUAACCACCGGUUA
rnacentral:snRNA from 1 species